rnacentral:rRNA from 1 species
GACGUAGGGCGCGAGCGUUGUCCGGAUUUAUUGGGGCGUAAAGAGCUCGUAGGCGGCUUGUCGCGUCGUCUGUGAAAUCCCGCGGCUCAACUGCGGGUCUGCAGGCGAUACGGGGCAGGCUAGAGUUCGGUAGGGGAGACUGGAAUUCCCGGUGUAGCGGUGAAAUGCGCAGAUAUCGGGAGGAACACCAAUGGCGAAGGCAGCUCGCUGGGACGGUACGUGAC